GGGCCUGCGCGAGACGCAUCGGCCAGGGCGCAUGCGCAGGGUGUAAAUGUCGUCAUCCAUGCUGCUCCCUCUCCUCGCCCCUCCCGCGGAGGGAAUUUCUGUGAGGGGCGGGGCCUCGGUUUCCAAAGCUGCGUUGUUUUCUGGUUGAAUGUUGUUUUGACAGCUUGUAUAUUUUGAUUAUAUCGUUCAGAUCAGUUUGUUUCAUGCUAUAUUGUAUUUUAUCUGGGUAUUUUGUUUUACAAUUGUAUUAUUAUGUAGUUUUAUAUUUUGUUGUUUCCUUCCCAUAUACACUGAAAGUGCUUUUUUUUUCUUUCGUGUCAGGAGCAACCGGAGUUGCUUCUUCCUGAGAGUGCUAUGGCAGAAGAUGCUGAUGGUUUCUCAAAAAAUGUUCUCCUACUCAAGGAAGUAUCAGAAAAUGUUUGGAAAAGGAACCGAUCACAUCUGGACAGCAGGUGUCGCCCGUUUACAAAGAAACCCAAAGACAAUUCUGGAAAUUUGGAGGGGAUUUAAAUACAUUAAAUACACCAGAUCUUCUCUGAUAUUUGAA